GGUGUCGAUAGUGCAAUUGGCUGAGCACGCGUUCCUAGAAAACGCGAUAUACGGGUUCGAGUCCCGCCGGACAUCA